rnacentral:rRNA from 1 species
CUACGGGUUGCUGCAGUGGGGAAUAUUGCACAAUGGGCGCAAGCCUGAUGCAGCCAUGCCGCGUGUAUGAAGAAGGCCUUCGGGUUGUAAAGUACUUUCAGCGGGGAGGAAGGGAGUAAAGUUAAUACCUUUGCUCAUUGACGUUACCCGCAGAAGAAGCACCGGCGAACUCCGUGCCAGCAGCCGCGGUAAUACGGAGGGUGCAAGCGUUAAUCGGAAUUACUGGGCGUAAAGCGCACGCAGGCGGUUUGUUAAGUCAGAUGUGAAAUCCCCGGGCUCAACCUGGGAACUGCAUCUGAUACUGGCAAGCUUGAGUCUCGUAGAGGGGGGUAGAAUUCUAGGUGUAGCGGUGAAAUGCGUAGAGAUCUGGAGGAAUACCGGUGGCGAAGGCGGCCCCCUGGACGAAGACUGACGCUCAGGUGCGAAAGCGUGGGGAGCAAACAGGAUUAGAUACCCCUGUAGUC